rnacentral:rRNA from 1 species
AACGAACGCUGGCGGCAUGCCUAACUCAUGCAAGUCGAACGAGAUCUUCGGGUCUAGUGGCGCACGGGUGCGUAACGCGUGGGAAUCUGCCCUUUGGUUCGGAAUAACAGUUGGAAACGACUGCUAAUACCGGAUGAUGACGAAAGUCCAAAGAUUUAUCGCCAGAGGAUGAGCCCGCGUAGGAUUAGCUAGUUGGUGUGGUAAAGGCGCACCAAGGCGACGAUCCUUAGCUGGUCUGAGAGGAUGAUCAGCCACACUGGGACUGAGACACGGCCCAGACUCCUACGGGAGGCAGCAGUGGGGAGUAUUGGACAAUGGGCGAAAGCCUGAUCCAGCAAUGCCGCGUGAGUGAUGAAGGCCUUAGGGUUGUAAAGCUCUUUUACCCGGGAUGAUAAUGACAGUACCGGGAGAAUAAGCUCCGGCUAACUCCGUGCCAGCCGCCGCGGUAA